rnacentral:antisense_RNA from 1 species
CUUGAGCGACCCCAGCCGCAGCGGCUGCCGGUCUUCGCGCCCGUGCCCGUAGGUGGCGAUCAGGGCGUGGGCUUC